AUGCCAGUGUGCAGGAAGGCAAGGCAGAGGGUCCUUCAUAUUUGGAAGUGGCAUGAAAUAAGCAUAGAAUAACUUGAGAAUGGCUGUUUGCUUUCCUGAAGGUGAGUUGUUAAAGUGCGGAAGGAUUUCAAAGCAGCCCAGCUCUUAAUAGUCUGUGUAUUGUUACUACCUAGUAGAUAGCCAUUCAUGGGUUACAGUGGCAAGCUGCUGAUUGCUGCUCAUGACCAGCAGUCUGCCACCUCACGCACAGCCUGGCUCCUCCUUCUUCAGGGAAAGGAAACUGAAACAGCCUUCAGAAAGUGGAACCAGUUUCCGUCAGCUGCACUGUGAAACAUGGGGGAGAGAAAACAGGGAGAAAAGUCCUCAAUAGAAAAUGAUCUUUCUUUUAAAUUGAGAAAUUCCUUCAGUGGAGAUGUAAAACAUUAAGAAUCACCACAUUCCUUCCCUCAGUUGUUUUUACCAUGAAAUUGCAAUAAUAUAACUAAAUAAUUGAACUUUUAUUUCCAUCUUAGCAGCACCAUGAACUCUUCUAAAAGUGAAAUAUAUCAGAGAUCUUUUCUCUCUACAAAGGAUACUUUCAAUCCUCAUCCGCCACUUCAUCCUUUUCUGGGGAAUGUCAGAUAGGAUAAAACUCUCUUCUAUAAAAGAA